UACGUACGCUGGCGGCAUGCCUAAUACAUGCAAGUCGAGCGAACAGAUGAAGUGCUUGCACUUCUGACGUUAGCGGCGAACGGGUGAGUAACACGUAAGGAAUCUACCUAUAAGCGGGGGAUAACAUUCGGAAACGGGUGCUAAUACCGCAUAAUAUCUUCUUCCGCAUGGAAGAAGAUUGAAAGACGGCUCUGCUGUCACUUAUAGAUGACCUUGCGGUGCAUUAGUUAGUUGGUGGGGUAACGGCCUACCAAGACGAUGAUGCAUAGCCGACCUGAGAGGGUGAUCGGCCACAUUGGGACUGAGACACGGCCCAAACUCCUACGGGAGGCAGCAGUAGGGAAUCUUCCGCAAUGGGCGAAAGCCUGACGGAGCAAUGCCGCGUGAGUGAAGAAGGCCUUCGGGUCGUAAAACUCUGUUAUAAGAGAAGAACAAAUUGUAGAGUAACUGCUACAGUCUUGACGGUAUCUUAUCAGAAAGCCACGGCUAACUACGUGCCAGCAGCCGCGGUAA
rnacentral:rRNA from 1 species